rnacentral:rRNA from 1 species
AGAACGAACGCUGGCGGCAUGCCUAAUACAUGCAAGUCGAACGAACUCUUCGGAGUUAGUGGCGCACGGGUGCGUAACGCGUGGGAAUCUGCCCCUUGGUUCGGAAUAACAGUUGGAAACGACUGCUAAUACCGGAUGAUGACGAAAGUCCAAAGAUUUAUCGCCAAGGGAUGAGCCCGCGUAGGAUUAGCUAGUUGGUGAGGUAAAGGCUCACCAAGGCAACGAUCCUUAGCUGGUCUGAGAGGAUGAUCAGCCACACUGGGACUGAGACACGGCCCAGACUCCUACGGGAGCAGCAGUAGGGAAUAUGGACAAUGGGCGAAAGCCUGAUCCAGCAAUGCCGCGUGAGUGAUGAAGCCUUAGGUUGUAAAGCUCUUUACCGAGAUGAUAAUGACAGUAUCGGGAAGAAGUAAGCCCCGGUAUAACCGUCCGUAGCCAGCCAGCCGC